rnacentral:rRNA from 1 species
CCUACGGGAGGCAGCAGUGGGGAAUAUUGCGCAAUGGGCGCAAGCCUGACGCAGCGACGCCGCGUGAGGGAUGAAGGUCUUCGGAUCGUAAACCUCUGUCAGCAGGGAAGAACCGUCACUCUGCUACUCAGCAGUGAAUUGACGCUACCUGCAAAGGAAGCACCGGCUAACUCCGUGCCAGCAGCCGCGGUAAUACGGAGGGUGCGAGCGUUAAUCGGAAUUACGGGGCGGAAAGCGCGCGUAGGCGGUAUGGCAAGUCAAGGGUGAAAUCCCCGGGCUAAACGUGGGAACUGCCUUUGAAACUGGAAAACUGGAGUGGGUGAGAGGAUAGUGGAAUUCCAGGUGUAGGAGUGAAAUCCGUAGAUAUCUGGAGGAACACCAGUGGCGAAGGCGACUAGCUGGAAAAUAACUGACGCUGAGGAGCGAAAGCGUGGGUAGCAAACAGGAUUAGAUACCCGUGUAGUC